UGGAGAGUUUGAUCCUGGCUCAGGACGAACGCUGGCGGCGUGCUUAACACAUGCAAGUCGAACGGUAAGGCCCUUUCGGGGGUACACACGAGUGGCGAACGGGUGAGUAACACGUGGGUGACCUGCCCUGUACUUCGGGAUAAGCCUGGGAAACUGGGUCUAAUACCGGAUAUGACCUUCUCCUGCAUGGGGGUUGGUGGAAAGUUUUUGCGGUACAGGAUGGGCCCGCGGCCUAUCAGCUUGUUGGUGGGGUAAUGGCCUACCAAGGCGACGACGGGUAGCCGGCCUGAGAGGGCGACCGGCCACACUGGGACUGAGACACGGCCCAGACUCCUACGGGAGGCAGCAGUGGGGAAUAUUGCACAAUGGGCGAAAGCCUGAUGCAGCGACGCCGCGUGAGGGAUGACGGCCUUCGGGUUGUAAACCUCUUUCAGUAGGGACGAAGCGCAAGUGACGGUACCUACAGAAGAAGCACCGGCCAACUACGUGCCAGCAGCCGCGGUA
rnacentral:rRNA from 1 species